UAUUUCUCUUAGUUUAUUCAUUUAACAAAAUGCUCCUUUCUGUGCCACAGAAGAGAGUGCCUAUAAGGCCUACACAGGUUCUUCAGUCUGCAAACCUCCCUUUGAGAACAUUUCUUUCAACUCACAUUGCUGGAGCUCCUAAAUAUCUUUCAAGGAAGACAGAGGUUUGCAUCCAGACAGGAUAGAGAUGUAG
rnacentral:lncRNA from 1 species